rnacentral:rRNA from 1 species
UACGUAGGGGGCGAGCGUUGUCCGGAUUUAUUGGGCGUAAAGAGCGUGUAGGCGGCCAGGUAGGUCUGCUGUGAAAACUCGAGGCUCAACCUCGAGACGUCGGCGGAAACCAUCUGGCUAGAGUCCGGAAGAGGAGAGUGGAAUUCCUGGUGUAGCGGUGAAAUGCGCAGAUAUCAGGAAGAACACCCCGUGGCGAAGGCGGCUCUCUGGGACGGUACUGACGCUGAGACGCGAAAGCGUGGGGAGCGAACAGG